rnacentral:rRNA from 1 species
GACGAACGCUGGCGGCGUGCUUAACACAUGCAAGUCGAACGGAAAGGCCCUGCUUUUGUGGGUUGCUCGAUUGGCGAACGGGUGAGUAACACGUGAGUAACCUGCCCUUGACUUUGGGAUAACUCCAGGAAACUGGGGCUAAAACCGGAGAGGAGCUCCUGCUGCAUGUUGGGGGUUGGAAAGUUUCGGCGGUGGGGGAUGGACUGGCGGCUUAUCAGCUUGUUGGUGGGGUAGUGGCUUACCAGGGCUUUGACGGGUAGCCGGCCUGAGAGGGUGACCGGCCACAUUGGGACUGAGAUACGGCCCAGACUCCUACGGGAGGCAGCAGUGGGGAAUAUUGCACAAUGGGCGGAAGCCUGAUGCAGCAACGCCGCGUGCGGGAUGACGGCCUUCGGGUUGUAAACCGCUUUCGCCUGUGACGAAGCGUGAGUGACGGUAAUGGGUAAAGAAGCACCGGCUAACUACGUG